AUUAGAGUUUGAUCCUGGCUCAGAACGAACGCUGGCGGCAGGCCUAACACAUGCAAGUCGAACGGAUCCUUCGGGAUCAGUGGCGGACGGGUGAGGAACGCGUGGGAACCUGCCUUGGAGUGGGGAACAACCGCUGGAAACGGCGGCUAAUACCGCAUACGCCCUACGGGGGAAAGGCUUCGGCCGCUCUGAGAGGGGCCCGCGUCCGAUUAGCUGGUUGGUGGGGUAACGGCCUACCAAGGCGACGAUCGGUAGCUGGUCUGAGAGGAUGAUCAGCCACACUGGGACUGAGACACGGCCCAGACUCCUACGGGAGGCAGCAGUGGGGAAUAUUGGACAAUGGGGGAAACCCUGAUCCAGCCAUGCCGCGUGAGUGAGGAAGGCCUUAGGGUUGUAAAGCUCUUUCACCCGUGACGAUGAUGACGGUAACGGGAGAAGAAGCCCCGGCUAACUCCGUGCCAGCAGCCGCGGUAAUAAU
rnacentral:rRNA from 1 species